rnacentral:rRNA from 1 species
ACGGAAGGCAGCAGUGGGGAAUAUUGGGCAGUGGGCGAAAGCCUGACCCAGCAACGCCGCGUGAAGGAAGAAGGUCUUCGGAUUGUAAACUUCUUUUAUGAGGGACGAAGGACGUGACGGUACCUCAUGAAUAAGCCACGGCUAACUACGUGCCAGCAGCCGCGGUAAUACGUAGGUGGCAAGCGUUAUCCGGAUUUACUGGGUGUAAAGGGCGCGUAGGCGGGGGUGCAAGUCAGAUGUGAAAUCUAUGGGCUCAACUCAUAAACUGCAUUUGAAACUGUAUCUCUUAAGUGCUGGAGAGGUAGAUGGAAUUCCUUGUGUAGCGGUGAAAUGCGUAGAUAUAAGGAAGAACACCAGUGGCGAAGGCGAUCUACUGGACAGUAACUGACGCUGAGGCGCGAGAGCGUGGGGAGCAAACAGGAUUAGAUACCCUGGUA